UACGGUGGGUGCGAGCGUUGUUCGGAAUUAUUGGGCGUAAAGCGCGUGUAGGCGGUCUUUUAAGUCUGAUGUGAAAGCCUCGGGCUCAACCUGGGAAGUGCAUUGGAUACUGGGAGACUUGAAUACGGGAGAGGGCAGUGGAAUUCCUAGUGUAGGAGUGAAAUCCGUAGAUAUUAGGAGGAACACCGGUGGCGAAGGCGGCUGCCUGGACCGAUAUUGACGCUGAGGUGCGAAAGCGUGGGGAGCGAACAGG
rnacentral:rRNA from 1 species